CUAUUUAAAAGUCUUAACCUUAAUUGAUAGUAUGGCGGUUGCUGACCCGACCAGAGGCACAUGCUGAUAAUCGAAACUGCACGAACAUCUUACUUUCUCUAAUAGCUACGCUAGUAUUUUGUACAUCGCUGUUCUAGGACUAAAUGUUCAAGUUUAGUCUUCUCCCUUAAAAUUAAAGUUUAUUACUGAUUUAGGGAAAAAAACAAGUCAAGACGCAGAGAAUGGGGAAGAAAAAGUGUGUGUCAGUAUUUAUAUAAUAUUCUAUUUACUUCACUCUUUUCUGAAAUCGGAUAAAGGGGAAAGAAUUUGGUAGUAAGAACGAUUCAUCAAAUUGUUCUGAAUAGGCAAUCAGCAGUGUACACACC
rnacentral:rRNA from 1 species